rnacentral:rRNA from 1 species
AGCAGCCGCGGUAAUUCCAGCUCCAAUAGCGUAUAUUAAAGUUGUUGCAGUUAAAAAGCUCGUAGUUGAAUUUCGGGAUCAAUUAAUCGGUCGUGCCUCUGGUACGUACUGGUUUUAUUGGUUCCUCCCUUCUGACGAAACACGAUGUCAUUAAUUUGGUGUCGUGGAGAAUCAGGACUGUUACCUUGAAAAAAUUAGAAGUGUUUAUAGCAGGCUAACGCUUGAAUACAUUAGCAUGGAAUAAUGAAAUAGGACGUUCGACCCUAUUUUGUUGGUUUCUAGGAUCGACGUAAUGAUUAAUAGGGAUAGUUGGGGGCAUUAGUAUUCAAUUGUCAGAGGUGAAAUUCUUGGAUUUAUUGAAGACUAACUACUGCGAAAGCAUUUGCCAAGGAUGUUUUCAUUAAUCAAGAACGAAAGUUAGGGGAUCGAAGACGAUCAGAUACCGUCGUAGUCUUAACCAUAAACUAUGCCGACUAGGGAUCGGAUGAUGUUAAUUUUUAAUGUACUCAUUCGGCGCCUU